CUAUGUCUAGCUUCUAUAGAGAAACCAUUUAAAGCCCUUUUCCUAAUUCAAUUUGAAUUAUAUACUCACUUUUCUUACUUAAUUAUAAUUUGUCAUCAAUGUAUCUUAAAAUUUUUCAACUUGAAUAAUCCAAAUCACUUGUAGAUUUGACUUAUUUAACUCUAAUUUAUAAUUAAAUCAAACACAUGACUAAUGUCAUAUUAAACAUUAAAAUAAUUGCUCUCACUUCCCUCCAAUAUGGGUCAUUAAUAUUUUAAAAUAACCAUAUGAUUCCAACAAUCCUCCACAUAUUAGAAAUUGUUAUCUUCUUUAUUUAGCUGACCAAUUAGAUGAAUUUGAUAGUGAUUUGAUGGUUAGUUUAGGGAUUUUGAUAUGUAAUUGUCAAAUAACUAAAGAUAGUGGUAGCUUAUGAUCAAGAUUAUAAGAUACUUUUGUUUGAUUGCAUGUGAAAUAUAAUUCAUGAUAAAUAAACCAAACUUGUGUGUUUGUUUCUUGUUUCAGCCUAUAUGUUUCUUGAUUUUAAAGCUUUCUUUAAAUUGAAUUGAUCUAAGUCUUGUUCUGGAUUAUUUCAUGGAAAAAGGUUAAGUAAAGAGCUUGUUUUACUUGACUAGUAAGUAAGAAAAGAUUAAGAUAAUUGAGCUUAUAAUUAUCCUAGGGUUGUUGUUUUCAAAAGGAAGUGAUUGAUAAUUUUGAUAAUUGACUUAAAUAUAAUGUUUGAUGGAGGAGAAUAAUUUUUUAACCAUAUUUCGCGUCAUAUAUUAAGAACAAUUUUCCAUAAUUUCAUAUUUUCUACUUUAAGUUCUUUAGUUUAGUUUACAUAUAAACUCAACUCUAGCCCCCUCCAAAAUUUGUGUGCAUGUUUAUUAGUAUCUUCUUAGUAGAUCAGGAAAGUCUGAAUUAAUUUCAUUGAGUCUAGAUAGGGUUUUGAAUCCAAUUUUUUUGUUGGUUGGUUGUCUAUUUUGUGUGUUUUUAUUUUAAUAACUUAUUAAUUGUGAACAAUCUUCUACAGGGAUGACCUUGCUUAUUGCUAUACUCAAUAAUGAUGACAUUUAAGACAAGUUUUAAGUGAUAAGCUUUUUAGCUUCUUAAUAAUUAAGAUUUCCAUUGGGCUUGUAGUCCAAUGAUGCAUUAGUGCCCUAAAAUUAUGUCGAUACAUAUUUUUGUACAAAUAAAUAUGGGUAAAUUUUUCUCUAAAUGUUAUUAGUAGGAUUACGUUCUUUUAGGCUGCAUCAUAAAUGUAUAUAUCUAGACAUCCAAUAGAUCCUAAAUUGUAGUAUAUAUGUAAUGAUAUGAACCCCCUCAAGAACUAAUGCGACCCUAAUCAAUUUAGUCCCCAAGAUCGAAUCUAAACCCAGAAUUGAAUGGAACUGCGACCUAAUGCUUAUUGAAAGCACAAACCUUGGUAUGUGAGGACGCCACAAUCAGUUAUGGAGCAUCUGAUUGAUAAGUCAAUAGUUUGAACGCUACGAAAAUCCUAUAAGUUCAAAGUGUUUGUAAAAGAAUCGAAGAGAAUUAACUCUCUCACCAAUUGCAUCAAAACUUAUCUGUCUCUGUUUAUUGGAUGUGAGUACAUUAUAUAGGGUUGAUUACAAGAAAUUUUGAAAAUAAUUCCUCGACCAAAAUCAAAUCAGAAUCUGAAUAUAAACAAAUAGGAAAGAAUCUAAAUCGAAUCAAAAUCCUAAUAUAAGUGCAUAGGAAAAGAUCUAAAUCAAAUAAUAAUCAUAAUCUAAGUAAAUUGGAGAAAAUCUAAAUCAAAUCAGAAUCCUAAUCGACUUAAAUGUCCUACAUCAAUUAAAAAGGAAACUAGGCAAUUAAAAGAGAAAUAACUAAUUUGUUUCUCCAAUAGCCUGCUCAAGAAAUGGGAAAGUAUCCAAAACUGAAACUAGUAUAUUUUCCCGCCAUAAUAUGGAAGCUAACUUCCUAUUUCAUGGAAGUAAUUAUUUGGAAACUUUAAGAACCUGGAUCACGCAUUUAUCAUGUUCGAUUCCUUCAAUGGGCCUCCACGAAUAUGAUUAAGUCCAAGUUGCUUGAAUCAACCCGUUAAGCACUUCUUUGAAUUUCUUUGCUCAUUUUUGUGACGGGUUCGACGGGAACUUGAAUAGGAUCUGAAUUGCCUCAUUCCACAUGCUUGUGAUAGUUUUGUCCUCAAUUUCAUCAUAUGUUUUUUGUAACAAUUCAAAAAAAAUUAAGAUUAUUUGCCUUUCACUACUAACUAUAGUGAAAUAACAGACCAUCAUAAGAAUUAUUAAAGUAUAAUAGUUUACUACAUUAACUAUCAAGAAAUAACACUUAACUACUUUUUCUACUGUCUUUAGUAUAUAUGGUUAGCAGAAGACAUGACCUAUUAAAGAAAGACCCAGGAGUGCCCGUGAGCUAACAGGGCAAAACCCACCAUGUGAAUGGACCAUCCAUGUUAUGCCUAAUUUUUGGUAUUUUUCUUAGGCUUAGCAUGGUACGCAGCAUGAGCCCACACGUGUCGAGCCUAAGAAAAAGAAGGGUAAGUUUUUUUUUUUUUUUUUUAAGAGCGCAUGCCAAGCUAUUGAUGUGUUUUCUUUUUUCAAAUCCAUAUACUUUUUUUUUUUGCCCACGUGCCUUUAAUCUAAUUUUAUAGAACUAAAAGUUCAAAACUCAUGUUAAUAUUAAAAAAUGAUACACUAAUUAUAAUAAGAUUAUAUAAUACUAACUACUAAGUUAGAACCUUUGGUAAAGUAAUAAUAAUAGUAGUAGUCAUAAUAAUGAUGACGACGAUAAUAAUAAUAAUAAUAAUAAUAAUAUACUUUUCUUAAGGGUAAUAUUUAAUUGUUAAAUUAAACUUAGAGUCAUAUAUUAUAGUCCAUGAUAAUAUUUAUGCUUACAAGUUUCAAAUUAAAAUAUAAAAAUUAACAUUUCAUUAAAAGAAUUUUAUUAUCUAAUUUCACAAACGAUAGAUGGUUCAAUAGGUGCCAACCUAGUUGGGAUGUACUAUUAACUAUAGUAAUGCAAGUUAUACUUAAUUUUAUUUAAGCUACUAAUAUUGUACUUUCACUUAAACUCCAUUUAAUGAAAAAGUAACUUUUAAUUUAUCAUAAACAUAUUUUGUUUCCAAUUUUAUUUUAUGUAUGUAAAUGGUGAAAAAAUAUUUCAUUCACAAAUAAAACAUAUUUCUUUUAACUAAUUUAUGAUUUCAUAAAUGAAAUGUUAAAGUCAUAAAAGUUUAGAUCUAUCAUUUAUAUCAUUUACAAAAUCAUGAUAUCAUUUAUUCAUUUAAUAAAUUAUAAAUGUAAAACAAUUAGAGUUGUUUUUUUUAACUAAGACUUAAAUGAACUUAAAAAACUUACGCUAAUAAAAUAAAUUACAAAUUAUUUGUAAAAUCAUAGAAUUUUAAGUUUAUUUUUCAUUAAAAAAAUUUACUUUGAUAAACUUUGGCAUGCAUGCUACUGAUGGCCCACGGGCAGCAAGUUGGCCUAUAAUGGAGUGUGUGUGUGUGUGUGUGUGUUGUGGGCUAUUUCACAUGUCGUACUAUAGCCUAUUUCUAAGCUUGUUGUGUUUUUAAGGUCCAUGUGUCUAAAAUCAACCCAACUUAGUCCGUGUGCAAGCUAUGCCACCUGUCCUACCAAAACAUGCUUAUACCGUGCCAUGCUGCAUAAACACGGGCGAUGCCACGUGUCGUUGGCCCAUUGGCCAUCUUUAAUCAUUAGUUGACUUUGUAAAAUACCAAAAUAUCAAUAACUCCAAAAAUAACAAAAUGAGCAUAAAUUGUUGACAACUUCUAAAACAACCUCAAAAGUUUAAAAAUAUAUCAAAAUAACCCUUAAACAUAAUAAUUUUUUUAUUUUCUUAAUUUUAAUUUUUAUUAUUUUGUUUUUAACAUUUCAAAUGUUAUUAUUAUUACAAAUAGGUAUUAGUAUUAAUCAGGGGUAUUUUAUAGUACUUAUAAAGGGAAUUCGAGGGAUAUUUUUCUUACUUCCAAAUCUUUGGAUUGAUUUAUAAUUUUAGGUUAGAUUUCAUUCAAAAGCAUAUGUUGAGUGUUGGAGAAUGCAUAUUUAUAAAUGAUAAAAUAGUCAUUUUGCACUCCAAGUCUUACUAACAUUUCUAUUUUUUAUGUAUUUAAGUUCUUUAAACUUUGAUUGUGUAUUUUGUUAUAAUUUGAGUAUCCUAUGUAUUUCAGGGGUAUUUUGGUCAUUUCAUGAUUAAUGAGAAAUCAACCAGCAAAACAAAUAGCAUUUUUGAGCUUGUGAUUUUAAGAUUUUUGUGGAGCCCAUCUGAUGUGGCAUUGACUGAUGAUGUGGCAGCAUUCUAAUGCAUUGACUGAUGACGUGGCAACAUUCUAUUGGAUCGAAAAUUGAGCUUAUAAUACAUGCAAUAUGCUUAAUCAAUGCUACUUGAUUUUAUGUUGACCAAUGACAUAGCAGCAUAUUAUUGAACCAAAAAAUACACGUACAUUAUAUGCAAUUUACUAAAUCAUAGCUUUGUGACAUGUUCCAUUGAAUAAGAACUAACCACAUGGCGCAAUCCUAAACGUCGAAGUUGUUUUCAUCUGAUAACUGUGAUUUAUCUGCUGUAUCUACAAAUGAGAGACUUUCUCCCAAAAUUGAUAGUUUUGAAUCUAAAUUUGAGCUCCAUUUUAUGUAAUUCUCACUCCAUCUUCUAUUUUGUACACAUUUUAUUAUAAAAUUACCAUUUUACACCUAGUUCAAUAUGAGUGGCUAAUUUAGUUUCAAGCUUAAGUUGAAGGUGAAGCUUCAACAUGAUCCAUAGACUUAAUUUGGUAAGUCUAUUAACUCUCUCUUUCUCUUUGAUUUAUGUAGAUUAUUUUGACUCAUUAUUGACAUAUAGUAAUAAUCCUGUCUAAAUUUUGCGCAGUAUACUAGCUUUCUAGUGCAAGAUCAUUACUGUUUGGUAUGAUAAAUACUUUACACUAUAUUUAUUAGUGAGAAAGAAUGCAUUUAAGUUAUUUAGUGGACAGUCUUAUCGCAUUGUCUACAAUAGGAUUAUUAUCACCUGACACAACGUGUACUUAACACCACAUUUAGUAGAAGAUUAUUUUCCCCUAGCACAAUGAGUAUUUAACACCAUAUUUACCAGAAUGAGGGCUAUAAGGAGUGCAAAUACGGCCUCAUAAAUUAAUUGGAACUAAAAAGAAAUAUUAAGUCUAUGGUCAAGUGUUAAGUGUGAAUCUAGAGACUCAAGUGUUUCAUUUAAAUUAUUUCAUCUUUAAUUUAUUCUCUUUAUCUUUUUAAUUUAAAUCUCAGUACUACUCAAAAGUCACAUCCAACAAAUUUACAUUUAAACUUAGAAAAUUAACCUUACACGUAAUUAAAUCUACCUUCUCGUGGGAUCGACACUUGUCAUAAUUAAUUUAUACUACAAUAGAUUCGUGCGAUUGCAAGUAUAAUAAAGUUUGCACAAUAACAUAUUUGUCCCUAUGACAUCAGCAUUUGACUAACAGAAAAAUUUGAAAAAGAAAGUAAAAUUUUAUUUUUAUUUAGUUAAAAUAGUAAAAUGUUACACUCAAUAAUUUUUAAAGUGGUUUGCCAAUUCAUCAUAGUUUUAGUAAUGAGAUGAUAAUAACCCAAAAGCUUAAUAGUUAAGAUUUAUUUUUAAUGUA
rnacentral:lncRNA from 1 species